rnacentral:rRNA from 1 species
AUUGAACGCUGGCGGCAGGCCUAACACAUGCAAGUCGAGCGGCAGCGGGAAGUAGUUUACUACUUUGCCGGCGAGCGGCGGACGGGUGAGUAAUGUCUGGGAAACUGCCUGAUGGAGGGGGAUAACUACUGGAAACGGUAGCUAAUACCGCAUAACGUCUUCGGACCAAAGUGGGGGACCUUAGGGCCUCACGCCAUCGGAUGUGCCCAGAUGGGAUUAGCUAGUAGGUGGGGUAAUGGCUCACCUAGGCGACGAUCCCUAGCUGGUCUGAGAGGAUGACCAGCCACACUGGAACUGAGACACGGUCCAGACUCCUACGGGAGGCAGCAGUGGGGAAUAUUGCACAAUGGGCGCAAGCCUGAUGCAGCCAUGCCGCGUGUGUGAAGAAGGCCUUCGGGUUGUAAAGCACUUUCAGCGAGGAGGAAGGCCAAUAACUUAAUACGUUGUUGGAUUGACGUUACUCGCAGAAGAAGCACCGGCUAACUCCGUGCCAGCAGCCGCGGUAAUACGGAGGGUGCAAGCGUUAAUCGGAAUUACUGGGCGUAAAGCGCACGCAGGCGGUUUGUUAAGUCAGAUGUGAAAUCCCCGCGCUUAACGUGGGAACUGCAUUUGAAACUGGCAAGCUAGAGUCUUGUAGAGGGGGGUAGAAUUCCAGGUGUAGCGGUGAAAUGCGUAGAGAUCUGGAGGAAUACCGGUGGCGAAGGCGGCCCCCUGGACAAAGACUGACGCUCAGGUGCGAAAGCGUGGGGAGCAAACAGGAUUAGAUACCCUGGUAGUCCACGCUGUAAACGAUGUCGACUUGGAGGUUGUGCCCUUGAGGCGUGGCUUCCGGAGCUAACGCGUUAAGUCGACCGCCUGGGGAGUACGGCCGCAAGGUUAAAACUCAAAUGAAUUGACGGGGGCCCGCACAAGCGGUGGAGCAUGUGGUUUAAUUCGAUGCAACGCGAAGAACCUUACCUACUCUUGACAUCCACGGAAUUUAGCAGAGAUGCUUUAGUGCCUUCGGGAACCGUGAGACAGGUGCUGCAUGGCUGUCGUCAGCUCGUGUUGUGAAAUGUUGGGUUAAGUCCCGCAACGAGCGCAACCCUUAUCCUUUGUUGCCAGCACGUAAUGGUGGGAACUCAAAGGAGACUGCCGGUGAUAAACCGGAGGAAGGUGGGGAUGACGUCAAGUCAUCAUGGCCCUACGA